CCAUGAUCUAGCUUCAAGUAACGGGAACAUGCAUUAAAACAAGUCAACAACCAAUCCCUAGUUAACCAUAUAUACGCCUGAGUUUUGUACUCAUGUAGUGUUAGACACUUAGACUAUACAGGUAUCAUUAGCCGAUCGACCAGCAAUCAAACAAGAACAUGAUCGGUCAACCAAUGAUACCGUAUAGCUUUAAUAUCCACCACCCUUUACAAGCAAUCCCUCAAACACAUACAAGCCAACAUCAGGUCUACGCUAACCAAAUACACACCAAGCCUAAUCCGGUACCUAAACCAGACUUAGGACUUAAUGUCAGAACCUGCAAACAAAUCAAUCAACAACCAAACACAAUCAUAAUAAUAAGAUACUAUGAGUAACUACGACUCGAUCUAUCUCCUAACACCGUAUAUCGAUGCUACAUUACUCAAGGGUUCCAUAACCCUCUACGACACACUAACACAACACUCUAACCUGGGCCCUGGUGAGCUCGUGUUCCUCCUCUCUAUCGGCAAUAUCCUAUCUCCCUACCACAAAGGCCAGAAGAAGGAACUUUCAACCGACCGCGGACCACAGUCCUUCGGGUCACCGCGCGACAGCCCACAGUCCUUCGCAAGUGGAAUUCACACAAGCCAACUCACAGUGUUCUAGGCAAGAAGCAGCUGGUUGAUCGAAGAGGACUUGGCCAAAACCCAAGAUGAACGUCUGGAGUGGACUGGACUGACCUUGUCUUGGACAGAACCUCGGCUUGAUCAUGUAGACACUGACAGGCCUCGACAGACUGAUCUAGACUCUGACAGAACCUCCUCUAGCUCCUAGACAGUACUUCGGACUUCCCGCGGAGUAUCGAGCAGAACUUCGACUGAUCUGAACCCAUGGAACUGAACUAACUUCGGACAGUACCUCCACUUGAUCAUCAAAGGAACUGACUGGCCUGGACGGAUUGAUUUGGACAGAGCUUCCGUCUCACAAUCGUAGAGAAUCAUCGAUUGGACGGAACUGGCCUUCUUGGUGGAGUAUCGGUCUUAAGAAUCGACCAUACUCUUAAAUCGACCACUUUUUUUUUCUCUCUCUCUGGCCACGUUUUGAACUUGCUUUGGUGUGUUCUGGAUGUCUGAAACUGAAGGGGGUGGCUGGGUAUUUAUAGAAAACACCAGCCAAGCAGAUUCAGUUUGGUGGCCGCCCGUGUGUCGCUCCGUAUGGCUCCGGACGCAUGCACGGCGGCACCUCGUGCUCCACAUGGCUGGCUGCAUGUCUAGGACACAUGCAGGACGCCACCACUCCUCCCAGAUGCCAACCGGCCAGCCAACAAUCAAACAAGAACAUGACUGACCGUCCAACCCAACACCAUGGUCCGGAAGCGCUACAUGACGGGCUAGGGACGAUCCGGUCAAAGUCACAAAAUUUACUUCACGACUUAGCCAAUUCAUCCACUAACUCAUCCCGCUAUGUCAAGGCACAAGGCUUUGCAACCCGUACCUAGGGUUAGCGUUUUCCGUUAGAUCGAGACCUAAGACUUUUUUGGACAGUUGACACCACGUUCUGAACCCAUGCAAAGAGCCACCUCAAGCUUCUCGGUCGAUUUGCACGAUUUUGGCCCUUCUGGUGAAUUUUCGUCCCGCGAUCAAUCCCGAAUAUUUUUACGCUCUCGUUCUGAUGCUCUAAAUAUUUUUAAUAGACUCCUGAUGAAUUCUGAUAUCCCUUAAAAAUAUUUCCCGAUCCUCCAGCCUCUUCGAAGAAUAUUACAGAAUACCAAAAUUAGACCGAUCAUCCUUACCUAAAGCGACCUGCAAAAAGGACAACGAAGUUGGAUGAGUAAUCUAGUAUUACUCAGUAAGCUGGCGGCCACUACCCGCAACGUAGACUCUAACCCAGACAACCCAAAAUAACAAUCAAUCUAGCCCUAGCACAAUAAAAGCUAAGGCUAAGCAAACCGUUACAAAGUUAGACUUGGCCUCCUGCCAUGAUCUAGCUUCAAGUAACGGGAACAUGCAUUAAAACAAGUCAACAACCAAUCCCUAGUUAACCAUAUAUACGCCUGAGUUUUGUACUCAUGUAGUGUUAGACACUUAGACUAUACAGGUAUCAUUAGCCGAUCGACCAGCAAUCAAACAAGAACAUGAUCGGUCAACCAAUGAUACCGUAUAGCUUUAAUAUCCACCACCCUUUACAAGCAAUCCCUCAAACACAUACAAGCCAACAUCAGGUCUACGCUAACCAAAUACACACC
rnacentral:lncRNA from 1 species